ACGUAGGGGACAAGCGUUGUCCGGAUUUACUGGGCGUAAAGGGCACGCAGGCGGUUUUUUAAGUCAGAUGUGAAAUGCCCCGGCUCAACCGGGGAACUGCCUUUGAAACUGCAAGACUUGAGUAUUGGAGAGGGAAGUGGAAUUCCGAGUGUAGCGGUGAAAUGCGUAGAUAUUAGGAGGAACACCGAUGGCGAAGGCGGCUUGCUGGACAAGUACUGACGCUGAGGCGCGAAAGCGUGGGGAGCAAACAG
rnacentral:rRNA from 1 species